rnacentral:rRNA from 1 species
CAUGCAAGUCGUACGAGAAAUCCUGGGCAACUGGGAAAGUAAAGUGGCGCACGGGUGAGUAACGCGUGGGUAACCUACCCUUGGAUUCGGGAUAACUCCGCGAAAGCGGGGUUAAUACCGGAUGAUAUUCCGAUUCCUAAGGGGGUCGGAAUCAAAGGUGGCCUCUGCAUGCAAGCUAUCGUCUAAGGAUGGGCCCGCGUACCAUUAGCUAGUUGGUAGGGUAAUGGCCUACCAAGGCAACGAUGGUUAGCUGGUCUUAGAGGAUGGCCAGCCACACUGGAACUGAGAUACGGUCCAGACUCCUACGGGAGGCAGCAGUGGGGAAUCUUGCGCAAUGGGGGAAACCUUGACGCAGCAACGCCGCGUGGGUGAUGAAGGCCUUCGGGUCGUAAAGCCCUGUCAGGUGGGAAGAAACAUGUCGGUGCUAAUAUCACCGAUG